CACUCAGGCUACUUCCAGUGUUGUCUUCAGAAAGAUGUCAAAGAAAAUACUGUAAACGUAUUUCAUAAUGAAACCACAAUCUCAAGAAUUUGGGGCUGACGACGAAGAAAAGUAAGAAAUAGAUGACCAUUUAAUAGUGAAGAGAAAUGUAGGGGAUAACAUGACACUCAUCCUGGCGUGAACAUGCCAGACACUCGGUGGGAGUUCCACAAAGUUUAAAGGUUAAUCCUGGCAUUCGGUUUAGCACCACAAAGACCGCGGAAGGAACUGGAAAAACAUCGGGACACCGCGAAAAUUGAGACCUACAAAGGCAGAACCAGGGAUCAGGAUCGCAGGACCAGAAAGGCCUUAACAGCGGCAGGGGCCACCAGGGCCGCGGACCUGCUGCGCGAGGAGCUGUCGCCGUAACUUCUGCCGCUCCCGGAUCUCCUGCAAGCGGCUAUCCAUGUUCCAACUCCUGCUUUUCACUACCCCGAGUACUUGUCAAUCUCCAGUGAACUCCUGUCCAACCUUUCUUCCGAGUCUGUGGAACAAAAUUCACCGGGAGCUUACGAACAGAGUAUCCUCAUAGCGUUCCUCAGUAGAGACUUCCGGCGCGGCCGGAAUUGGCUCGCUUGGCCCGGAAGUCCCGCCUCCUUCUGAACGCUUGCUAUGUGACGCCACUUGGAAGGGACCCAGUAAGGGAUCUGUUGCGCCACGGGGGUCUCCAGGGCCCUCGCAGGUUGGGGUGGUCUGAGCUAGUCUGAAGGAGGACAGUCAGCUGACUUCUCCUUUAUCUCUCUUUCCCAGGAUAGCAGGUUCCCUUGGUGUAUUACAGUUUCUGAAGUGUUGAUUCCCUUUUCAAUUGAUUCCACAGAUGACAGUCCUGACGUUUAAAAAAUUGCCAGAUAACCUUUAAUUUUUUUUUUUUUUUUAACAGAACACAAACUUAAGCCAGAUUGCCUAGGAUUGAACCUUGGCCUCUCACUUCCUAGCCGAGUGGCCUUGGCUAGUUAACCACCUUCGCGAGCCUCAGUUUUCUCAUCUGUAAAAUGGGAGUCAUAAGUGUCUACCUCACAGAGCUGUGAUUGAAAGGAUAAAUAGCACCUUGCACAUAGCGGUGUAGAAGUGCUUGUUAUUGUUAACAUUUUAUUUACCUUCACGCAGGUAACAGCCACAACAUCUGCCCACUCUUCCCCACACCUUACUGUCCCUUGAAAUGUUUCCCAUUUUACUAUAGUAUGCAUUUUUUGGCUUCUUCCCUUUAGGGAAAUGAGUGUGUGAUAGUAAAGUGUGUCUUGGUUUAUGUCCUAGGAGUCAGAAGCUAAGGGACUCCUUUUUGUGCUUGUACAUUUGUCUUAACUGAAAAUAACCCAAGGAUAAGGAAACAAAUAGCUUCCUGAAAUUACUCGGAUUGCAGGGGUGAGGGGUGAGGGCUGGGGGGUGGUGAUUCUGUCUUCAUAGGAUGGCAGCAAAGGCCAAAGUCUUAUUUGAGUUGUUACCAUUAUUAUUCACCACAUUUGCCAUCUUAUUUCAAGCCUACAGUGGUGGAAGUGGAGUAAGACCUCAUGUUGCCUCAAGUUUAAUUGGAAAUCGUGUGCCUUGUGAAGAAUGGACACUCAGUAGAUGCUUAUUGAUGAACCUGUUGGUUGAGGAUAACUCGCUAACUUUUCUGAGCUUUGUUGGAAAAACUAGACAGGGGUCUCACUAUGUGAUGCAGGAUGAUCUCAAACUCCCUGGCCUCAAGCGAUCCUCCUGCCUUGGUCUCCUAAAGUGCUGGGAUUACAGCAGGUCACUGUAUCUCUAUGCAUUACAGAAAAUGGCUAGUUAAAAACUUGUCAAGGCCAGUUGCAGGCAUGAUACCAGCAGUCUGGGAGGUAGAGACAAGAGGACACAUCUCUGCUGCUCCCUUCUUUCCCCAUGGUUAUGCGCCAACUUUGGUUUCACCAGGCCUACAGUGCUUCCCAGAGAUGGGGUUUUACUAUGUUGGAGAAGCUGGUCUCAAACUCCUGGGCUCAAGUCAUCCUCCCGCCUCAGCCUCCCAAAGUGCUGAGAUUACAGAUGUGUGCCUGGCCUAUUUUACUCGUUUUAAUAGAUAGUCUCAGUCUGUCACCCAAGCUGGAGUGCAGUGAUGUGAUCUUGGCUCACUGCAACCUCCACUUCCCGGAUUCAAGUAAUUCUCCUGCUUCAGCCUUCCGAGUAGCUGGGAUUACAGGCUCCCACCACCACAACUGGCUAAUUUUUGUAUUUUUAGAAGAGACAGGGUUUCACCAUGUUGGCCAGGCUGGUCUCAAACUCCUGACUUCAGGAGAUCUGCCCACCUCAGCCUCCCAAAGUGCUGGGUUUACAGGGGGAGCCACCGCGCCCAGCCUCACGGAAUGAGUUUUAAUUUUGAUGAAGUUUAGGUUUUACUUUUUGAAUCAUGCAUUUGGUAUGACAUAAUAGUUAACAUUUUAUGUGUGGAAAUAUGUGCAUUCUCUCAUUCCCUCUCCUCCCAUGUCCAAUCCAUUGGCAGGUCCUGUCAGCACCAUCUCCAAGAUAUAACCUAAAUGUGUGUACCUUUCUCCAUUUUUAUAGCUAUCACCAAGCUUCAAACCACCAUCAUCUCUCACUCAGUUGGUCUCCCUUAUGUCAUGUGACCUCAUAACUUAAAAUCUCCCAAAGGUUUCCCAUUCACACUUAAAAUCCAAACUCUACCACAGUCUACAAGAACCUGCCCCAUCUGGACUCACCCUGGUGCACUAACUCCCACCUCCCUCCAUCUCACUGUGGUGCACUAAACUACAGCUACACUCCUUUCUGUUUGUUUAUAUUCUCACCCAACUCAAACACAACCAGCUCCCUCUCACUUCGGGUCCUUGUAUAUGCAGGCCCCUCUCCAAUGUCUGCAGGACUAGCUUCUCCUCAUUCAGGAUUCAGUUCAAAUGUCAACCUCCCCAAGAAGCCUUCACUCAUCACCAUAUGUAAAGUAGCUUAUCUUUCUCAUCACUUUGUAUUAUGACUCUUUUAUUUUUAUAUAGCACUUUAUUAGCUGAAGUUAUUUAUUUGUUUACUCUGCAUACCCCUAGUCAAAUGUAAGCUAUCGAGCAGUGACCUUGCCUGUCAUGUUCAGCCCUACAUCUCAAACUCCCAGCACAUGGUGGUCACUCAGUUAAUAUUUAUUAAAUAUUGAACACUUCUUUUUCAAAAAGCAAAUUUCCUUUUGAGUAUUCAGCUACUGGUAGAUUAAACAUGUCCUCAAAAGAAACUAUUUGUAAUCACACUAAUUAAUUAGAGGAAAAAAGGUAAGAGAAUUCUAGUUUCUGAAUAAAUUAACUCAUGCUAAGUCAUGUCUUUUACUCAUGUUACCUGAGGUACACAAAUAUAAUGUAGAGUAAAAUAUAUCUCAAGUAUAUCUUGAUUCUAACUGCAAGAGGAUACCAUUAUUGUGUAGUCACAAACUCCAAAAACUAUGUAAAUUUGUAUCCUCAGCUUCAGCAGUAAUUCUAUGACUUACCCUAGGCAAGCCUGAACAGGUCUCUACAGCUUAGUUUCUUGUUUUGUUAAAGGGAUUUAAUACAAGCUUACCUCACCAAGAUGCUAUGUAAAACAGUUUCUAUUUAUUGCAAGUACUCUAUGAUUUUUGUGUCUAUUGGUGUGGAACAACACACUCAUUACAUGAUGGCAUCAAAAAUUUUGUGCCACGAAGGAUGCCAAAUUCUUGGAGAUACUAGAGGGAUUAUAGUGCAUAUGACUAAUUAAUUUUGGGGAUUGUGUUGCAGUUACAUCUAAAGACAAACUUGGAAUUUAGGCUGAAGAAUUGUCUCAAAUCAUUUUAAAUUGUGUUUUUAGAAUAUGAUACUUAAAUAUCUGAGGAUGGCCUCAAAACUUUAGUAGAAAAUUGGGGAAAUAUGCCUAAAUAUCUCAGGAUAGCCUCAAAACUUUAGUAGAAAAUCAGGUAAAUAUGCCUUAUAAGCUUAUAAAGUUAUAAAAUUUAUGGUUUUAUGUAUUAUAUAAAUAGAGCAUUGCAGACACAUUCCUUAUUUUGAAAUGAAAAAACUUUCUGAUAUUAACAUUCAUUUACUUAAGACCCUGUGGAACUCAAACAAAGCAAUAGAGCUGGAGAAAGGAUUGCUAACUUAUCCAAGAUAUAGUUCUGAUUCUGAAUGGAUACUAUCCAUCUUUCUCAAAGAAACUGGGACUUGCAAUAAAUAUAGUUUCAUAGGAUGCAUUAUGUAGAGUUUUUUUCAAAGAUUUUAAAAUGUCAAAAGAGCCUUAUAAUUACUUUACUGUAAGUAGCCAUAAUACUGCAAUAGAAUUCAGCAAAAUCAAUCAUUUAAUUUAAUUUAUAAAAUUAAAAUUUGUUUACAAAUAUAAAAUAGGUUUUUAAAAUUCUGAAGUCAUCAAAAUGAACUAGCUUUCUGACUUGAAUCGAGUCAUCUAACCACACUGUAUCAGAGAUUCCUCAAUUGCAAUUCAAAGGAAAUGAAAUAAUUCAGUGAUUCUCAAACAUUUGGGUCAAGGACACCUUUACCCUCUUAAAAACUGAAGACCUCAAAGAGCUUAAUUUAUGUUUAUGUGGGUUAUAUCAAUCAUUAUUUACCAUAUUAGAAAUUAAAACUAUCAUUAAGAUAAAAACUGAGAUACUUACUGAUUAAUUCAUUUAAAAAUAAGUAAAUAUUCUAUUACAUGUCAUCAUAAGCAGUAUAUUUUAUUAAAAAACUAUAUUUUCCAAAGAUAGCUUUUUUUUAAGAAGAGUGACAUUGUUUUACAUUUUUUCAAAACUGUUUAAUGUCUAGCUUAAUAAAAAGUGGCUGGAUUCAUA